CUGAUUGCACGAUGAAGCUGCCAGAGAAGCACAGGGUGGAGUCUGCAAGGUGAUCGCCAUUUUUGGGUUUUUCUGUCUUUCUAAUUCA